UGUAGGCCGGGAAUCGAACCUGGGCCGCCCGCGUGGCAGGCGAGCAUUCUACCACUGCACCCAC
rnacentral:tRNA from 1 species